rnacentral:tRNA from 1 species
GGGGAAUCAGCUCAAUGGUAGAGUGCUCGCUUAGCAUGCGAGAGGUAGCGGGAUUGAUGCUCGCAUUCUCCA